AGUGUUGAUUGGGGCAUUCGGUAUUAGGGACACGUUCUUGUUUGUUUUGUACAGGAGGAAUAACUGCAUUUUCUCAGGACUUCAUCACUUUUUGCCCAUGUCUUCUACAAUGUUGGGCAAGUUUUAUCGUGAUCUUUUUGUUCAUCCUGAAAUUUGUUUCUUUUCUCCAACUAAGUUUAUCUCUACCAAAUCUUGUGAAACUUGUACAUUACAUACUGCUUAUUACCACUAAUCACAGAUCAAGUAGGCCACAGACCCCAAGCAAUUUACGGAUUAAAUUUUCAUUACUCUUUAAAACAACCUCAAAGAAAUUUUAAUGCUAUGAUGUUGUCGUAAUCUGAAGACACCUUUAGUUUCUGAACAAUAAUUUCAGUUAUCGUAAUAAUUCAAAUUCUGUUUCAAGCUUGAAUAUUGUGUCCAAACUUGCCUUAAUUGUUCACCUCUGCAGUGGAGUCGAGCUGUGAUUGGUUAAGCAUUUUAUUUCAUAUUGGGGAAAAAAAGAUUAACCAUGCCAAAUCAUUGUAUGUUUAAUGAACAGUACAAGUCUCACAUAUCCAACUUUUAGGAAAAUCCUUUUUGUUUAGGUCAUUAAGUUGGUCAAAACCUAUCCAUACUGGUAUGGCCAAGUCUAGCGCAGUUCCCCGUUACCUAUUACAACUGGCUUAUCAUUUAUUCCCACCACUGGAUACUGUAGAUUCAUUCAUUUUCUGUAUGAAGGAAAACUUGCUUGUUCCUGGUUUUGCAGGUCAACAUACAAAUCUAUUGGAAAUUUGUCAUUGGUUGAAUAUCUUAUUUUGUUGUUCACUUAUACCCAACGAAUAAAAAUGAAUCCACUGUAGUUAAAAUAAUGCACCUGAAAAUUUAGUUGACUUUCUGCAUCAUAUGUACAAGUAACUAUAUUUGUGGAUAAUGCAAAACAGGGUGUUGAUUGUGGGGCUCAUUUGGGUCUAAGCAUGACACAUGGAAGUCUAAUUAUUGUUGUGAAAACAGGAAAUGGAGUCUAGUUGGACCCGGAAAAUUACAAAAUAAAUGAGAAUUGCUAAGUACAUAGUGUAAGCGGGAUACGGGAAUCUGUCAAAACAGUAAACAGGAUUGGGGAUAUGAGACCCCCUUGAUAUGAUCUGCACCCAGUACAGAUUUUGGUGCUGUUCUAUUGUUUUGUCCCUUUAUGAAUGGAAAUGUUGCUAAUUUUGAUGAAAGUUUACAAUUUGUGAGGCAUAGUGAUACAUUUAUUCUAAACAAAAUUAUAAUGCAGAUCUGUUUAUUAUUGGCAUACUACUACAAUUCUUGCCUUGCAUGUGACUUCUGUUGCAGAAUGCAAAAUAUAGGAAUUGCAAUCCUGAGGUGGCAUGAACAAAUUGUAUGAAGCUUAAAUUUCCAAGGAGAGAAGACCUGGAAGCUUCAAAUCUUGUAUACUGAUGCCUUAUGUUAUGAAGUUUUGGUCUGUUAUAUGGCCAUUGUCCUUACCCCCAUUAUCCAUGUUCACUAUCUGCACUUCACAAAAAGUUUCAUGUGAGAAUCUCGCUUUGUAGAAUUAACCCCGAAAA
rnacentral:lncRNA from 1 species